UGGGGAAUAUUGGACAAUGGGCGAAAGCCUGAUCCAGCAAUGCCGCGUGAGUGAUGAAGGCCUUAGGGUUGUAAAGCUCUUUUACCAGGGAUGAUAAUGACAGUACCUGGAGAAUAAGCUCCGGCUAACUCCGUGCGCGCAGCCGCGGUCAUACGGAGGGAGCUAGGGUUGUUCGGAAUUACUGGGCGUAAAGCGCACGUAGGCGGCCAUUCAAGUCAGAGGGGAAAGCCCGGGGCUCAACCCCGGAACUGCCUUUGAAACUAGAUGGCUUGAAUGUGGGAGAGGCGAGUGGAAUUCCGAGUGUAGAGGUGAAAUUCGUAGAUAUUCGGAAGAACACCAGUGGCGAAGGCGACUCGCUAGACAAGUAUUGACGCUGAGGUGCGAAAGCGUGGGGAGCAAACA
rnacentral:rRNA from 1 species